rnacentral:tRNA from 1 species
GGGGAUAUAGCUCAGUGGCACAGUACCUGCCUGGCAAGCUCAAGGUCGUGAGUUUGAUUCUCACUACCA